rnacentral:misc_RNA from 1 species
GGAGUGAAAAGGGUGACAGGUGCACCAAUGAAGUCGUGAGUUAAAGUGAUUAAGUAUUUAGGUAUAGCAUCUUUUAAACCUUUCUAAAAUUGUGUAGAAUGGAGGAAGAGGAUUUACGUAGUUGACUCAAAUGAGAUUCAGAUUGAGUUAUGACUCAAACUAGAUUCAGAUUGAGUUAUACUUCAUUUAUUGUACUUGUUGAUGAAAGUGACAUCUUGUAGAUCACGACUACCUCAACAAUCUGAUUGCAUUUGAAUACCUCUGACUCUCUCUCUCUAUCCUCAUAGUUAUUAAAGGCAUGCUUGGGGCUCUAGGCUCACUAGGUUCCAACCCUAGCACCUCUACAGGAGAAAGG